ACAGACGCGCCCACCCCCACCCCCACCUCCCCCUGCUCCCCUCAGGGAGGAGCGCUGCCGUCCCCAGUCCCUCAUCCACCUCCGCAGCCGGAUGUCGCUCGCCCCAGGGGGACCCUCCCAGGGGCCGGUGAUCGGCCCGGCGGGCUGCCCGCAGCGCAAGCAGGGAACAGCUGGGCCACGGCGGCGGCAGGCUCCCCGUGCGGCGCCGGGAGGGCAGGAGGGGUGCGGGGCUGCGGGAAGGGGAACUGCUCCUGGGCGAGCGGUUGCUGCUGUCUGCCCACUCCCCGCCUCCCCCGGUCCCUGUGGAACAAGGGCUGCUUGUCUCGCCCGAGUUCCCGUCCGCCCUCGCCAGUGGGAGCCGCUGUGAGGUAAAAACUGAGCUGAAGUGAGGCAAAGGGCCUGGGACCGGCCAGCAGGAGUUUGAGGGACGGAUCUUGCCGCCUUCGUCCGUGGUAAACAAAAGUAGUGCAUCUUCGCUGUGGCCCUGCUUCACAGUAGUCUGUGUAUUAGCUGGGCUAAAGGAAAAAACGCAAGUUUCUGUGGUUUGGUUUUUUUCCUGCAAUGCGUGUGUGUGCUAGUUCUGUCCUAGCUCCCAGGAUUUAUUGCACAAUUCCAGCCUUGCAAAGGUACGCUUUUCUGUAACUUCUCCUGUGAUGCAUUUGUUCCUUAUUUUCUUGUCUAUGCCAAGUAAGCAUGCUUCAUCUGAAGGCUCUGGAACUAGGCUGGCUGUUACAGACAAGCAAAAGGAGAAAGAGCUUGACUGCUGACCUGAAGAGGAGGCAGGUUAACGAAAGAACACCAGCGUUAGAGGAUUUGAUCUGCAAAUAGGCUCCAAUGUGGAAAACUCACACAAGCAUGUACUGCAGCGACAUAGAAAACUUCUUGCAAACAGGGAAAGGAAACAAUAUGCAAGAUAAAAAUGUUCUGAUGCCUCACAAAUAUAAUCAGCCAAUAUACCACCGGUAUCCAGACCACUUGAAAGGCUAGGAGAGUAGCGUACUAUGUUGGUUGUGCUCACUGCAUAUGUAAGACUCGUCAAGAUCUCUGUGGACAGAACCCUGCAAAUGCAAAGAAUUUUACUGAAAUGGGCCUGUGAACCCUCUCAUCCGUGUGGCUCAGCACAGGUUGGUGUGGAUCCGAUCUGGAGAUGGAGUAAAUUCGUUUCUUGCCAAGUGUGUUGAGUCACAACGGAGCAGCAGCAUGGGAUUUCCUUUUAAGGAACCAGCGCCUUUCUCCUAUUAUAGGAUACAAGCUAGUGUGCAGCCAACAGCUGGAAAAAGCAGGCCUAGGCAAGGACUCAGAAAUUGACCAGAAGUACUCUAAUACAGAAUUAAGAGUUUCCAGCCCAGGUCCCUGUAAAUACCUUCUUCAGGACUUCAUCCUGUGCAGUGUUCAGAACUGCAUAAUGACUUGGGUGGACCUGGCACCAGUUUGUGGAAAUGCCAAGCCCUGUUGAACCUGGCAUUCCUGGGACCAGAGGAGCCACAGCAAUACCCUGCAGCCCUGGCGCCGCCUCUGACACAGCUCAGCCCAGGGAGCAAGCCUGGUCCUCUGAGGUCUUUCAUGUGUUACUCGUGGGGUGGAAACACACUGGAUCCCACAGGCCUGUCUAGCGCUGUAAGGACCAGGGGCUGAAAGAUGACCAAGACAAACACGUGGAAGAGAAUUGUCUGCCCUGAUGAUGCUGAGGGAUGACCAUUCAGAACCACUGUUUUACUUUACAGAAUAUAUCUACAUUCAUCACUGGCUAAAGCAACUCUUUUCUUAUCCAUGGAGACAGUUUAAGAUUGGAAAAAGUGUAAGUAACUUCCAAGGAGCAGAGUGGUUGCAAGUUAGAAGCAAGGUAAGAUGGAGCAAGACAUUUGUC